rnacentral:rRNA from 1 species
UGGGGAAUUUUGGACAAUGGGCGCAAGCCUGAUCCAGCCAUGCCGCGUGGAUGAUGAAGGCCUUAGGGUUGUAAAAUCCUUUCGUUGGGGACGAUAAUGACGGUACCCAAAGAAGAAGCUCCGGCUAACUUCGUGCCAGCAGCCGCGGUAAUACGAAGGGGGCUAGCGUUGUUCGGAUUUACUGGGCGUAAAGCGCGUGUAGGCGGAUUUGUAAGUUGGGGGUGAAAUCCCGAGGCUCAACCUCGGAACUGCCUCCAAAACUACAAGUCUGGACCUAAGUAGAGGCAAGUGGAAUUGCGAGUGUAGAGGUGAAAUUCGUAGAUAUUAGAAGGAACACCGGUGGCGAAGGCGGCUAUCUGGACGACAACUGACGCUGAGGCGCGAAAGCGUGGGGAUCAAACAGGAUUAGAUACCCAAGUAGUCCCUGAGCGGGCUGGCAAGGCGCAU